UCAAGUACUUCGCUAUGUUAACCCAGUCCUCAUGUUUACAGCUCUACAAGAAGUUCCGGAGUACAAUUAUUGUUGGCAGAAAUAACCUUAUUAUGCAUUGGAUAAUCGUUUGUCGCAGCAUGCAUCUAAUUGGGACUAAAGAUUGAUCUUGGUUUAUCCAGAUCAACUUUAAAAUGAAACGAACUUAAUAGCUUCAAAAACAUAUCAUACAAUAAAGCUUUAAUUUAGACAAAAAGAGAAGUAGCCCUGAAAACAGAAGAUGAAUGGCAUAUAUCAAUCCAUCGAUAUUCAAAAUGAAGGAUAAGAGUUUUGGCUCAGAGCAACAAUGCAAACUGUUAAGAACUCUAUCCAUUCGACAAGAUUACGUCAAAAUCAAAAGAGUAUCUAUUACUAACAAUAAAAAAAUGUCUUCUAUGGAAAAAAUAGAUCAAAAGGGUAAAGUUUAUCAAUUCCUAAAUCCCUAUUGUAUAGUCCGUGCAUAUUAAAAAUGUGUAUAUUAAUACUAUACACAAUCACACAUCUCAUAAUCAAAGACAUUUCUAAACUGUUGUAUGGAGUAUGGAGUAUUCAGUAAUUACUUCGGCAUAAUGAGGUAACUAAAACAACCUGCAGCUUCCAUAAACAAUUGACAUAAAUAAAUAUACCUCUUAGGCUCUUAAAAUUAGCAUGCGUACAAAUCACAGAAAAAGAGUACUAGAGUUAAAAAAAA